UACGGGGGGGGUAAGCGUUGUUCGGAAUUACUGGGCGUAAAGGGCUCGUAGGCGGCCAACUAAGUCGGACGUGAAAUCCCUCAGCUUAACUGGGGAACUGCGUCCGAUACUGGAUGGCUUGGAUUUGGGAGAGGGAUGCGGAAUUCCAGGUGUAGCGGUGAAAUGCGUAGAUAUCUGGAGGAACACCGGUGGCGAAGGCGGCAUCCUGGACAAUUGCUGACGCUCAGGCACGAAAGCGUAGGGAGCAAAAGGG
rnacentral:rRNA from 1 species